GAGGGAGGAAAUCUAAGGCAUGAUAAUUGAACCAUUAAGAGAAAAUGGUGGAAAUAUAAUGACAGAUGAGAAAAUCUAAUAUCUGCCACCACUAACAAAAGGGAAACGAUAGUUGAACCAUUAAAAUAUCAGGAUUGAGGUGCCAUUUCUCAGAGGCAUGAUAAUUGAAACACUUGAUUGACUUAAUAUUGGAGAACUACUUGACCCAAAAUUAUAAUUAAAU
rnacentral:misc_RNA from 1 species